rnacentral:rRNA from 1 species
UAGGGAAUCUUCGGCAAUGGGGGCAACCCUGACCGAGCAACGCCGCGUGAGUGAAGAGGGUUUUCGGAUCGUAAAGCUCUGUUGUAAGAGAAGAACGAGUGUGAGAGUGGAAAGUUCACACUGUGACGGUAUCUUACCAGAAAGGGACGGCUAACUACGUGCCAGCAGCCGCGGUAAUACGUAGGUCCCGAGCGUUGUCCGGAUUUAUUGGGCGUAAAGCGAGCGCAGGCGGUUAGAUAAGUCUGAAGUUAAAGGCUGUGGCUUAACCAUAGUACGCUUUGGAAACUGUUUAACUUGAGUGCAAGAGGGGAGAGUGGAAUUCCAUGUGUAGCGGUGAAAUGCGUAGAUAUAUGGAGGAACACCGGUGGCGAAAGCGGCUCUCUGGCUUGUAACUGACGCUGAGGCUCGAAAGCGUGGGGAGCAAACAGGAUUAGAUACCCUGGUAGUCCACGCCGUAAACGAUGAGUGCUAGGUGUUAGACCCUUUCCGGGGUUUAGUGCCGCAGCUAACGCAUUAAGCACUCCGCCUGGGGAGUACGACCGCAAGGUUG